GAUGAAGAACGCAGCGAAAUGCGAUAAGUAGUGUGAAUUGCAGGAUUCAGUGAAUCAUCGAAUCUUUGAACGCACAUUGCGCCCCUUGGUAUUCCAUGGGGCAUGCCUGUUCGAGCGUCAUUUGUACCUUCAAGCUUUGCUUGGUGUUGGGUGUUUGUCUCGCCUUUGCGUGUAGACUCGCCUUAAAAUAAUUGGCAGCCGGCGUAUUGAUUUCGGAGCGCAGUACAUCUCGCGCUUUGCACUCAUAACGACAGCGUCCAAAAGUACAUUUUACACUCUUGACCUCGGAUCAGGUAGGGAUACCCGCUGAACUUAAGCAUAUCAAUAAGCGGAGGA
rnacentral:misc_RNA from 1 species